AGAAUCAACGCUGGCGGCGUGCCUCAGACAUGCAAGUCGAACGCGAAAGUCCCCUUCGGGGGGCAAGUAGAGUGGCGCACGGGUGAGUAACACGUAGGUAAUCUACCUUUGGAUGGGGAAUAACAAUCGGAAACGAUUGCUAAUACCGCAUAAUGCAGCGGCACCUAAUGGUGUCAGUUGUUAAAGCGGGGGAUCGAAAGACCUCGCGUCUGAAGAGGAGCCUGCGGCGGAUUAGCUAGUUGGUAAGGUAAUGGCUUACCAAGGCUACGAUCCGUAACCGGCCUGAGAGGGCGGUCGGUCACACUGACACUGACAUACGGGUCAGACUCCUACGGGAGGCGAGCA
rnacentral:rRNA from 1 species